CUCCAGGGGUGCGUGACAGGUUGGGAGCUGUGGUGGGUCCAGGCAGAAAUGGCUUCCCUGGGAAGUUGCGGAAGAGGCGUCUCUGGAGACGUGCUUCGUGAGGAGAGAAGCUGAAGUGUUGCAAACAACACUGGUUGGGUUGUUUCCUGUCAGUUAUGGAGUGAUGAGGUCACGCACUUCAUUCUGGCCAGUCAUUAAUAUGAUUUGGCAUUCUCUGCAUGCCAGGCAAGAGUGACUGCUCUUCAGGCCAGAUCUUCCUUCGAGAUGGAUGUUAUCUCCUUUUUAGGAAGGAGGAAACAGAGAGACCUCGUAACUUGGCAUGGCCACACAAUGGGAAUAAACUGAGUGACCAAGAGGCUGAAUAUCUUCUCCAAAGCCAAAGAACCAGGCAGUGGCAGAGAUCCAAACCCAAGCGAUUUGGGUGCCAGGGCUCAAGCACUUCCCCAUGCAGCCACUGCCUCGAGAAAUAAAAAGACUCACCAGACACUU
rnacentral:lncRNA from 10 species